rnacentral:rRNA from 1 species
GAAUGCUUUACACAUGCAAGUCGAACGGCAGCAUAGAGAGCUUGCUCUCUGAUGGCGAGUGGCGAACGGGUGAGUAAUAUAUCGGAACGUGCCUAGUAAUGGGGAAUAACUAGCUGAAAGGUUAGCUAAUGCCGCAUACGACCUACGGGUGAAAGCAGGGGAUCUUCGGACCUUGCGUUAUUAGAGCGGCCGAUAUCUGAUUAGCUUGUUGGUGGGGUAAUGGCCUACCAAGGCGACGAUCAGUAGCUGGUCUGAGAGGACGAUCAGCCACACUGGAACUGAGACACGGUCCAGACUCCUACGGGAGGCAGCAGUGGGGAAUUUUGGACAAUGGGGGCAACCCUGAUCCAGCCAUUCCGCGUGAGUGAAGAAGGCCUUCGGGUUGUAAAGCUCUUUCGCAAGAGAAGAAAACUUGCUAUCUAAUAAAUAGUAAGUAUGACGGUAUCUUGACAAGAAGCACCGGCUAACUACGUGCCAGCAGCCGCGGUAAUACGUAGGGUGCAAGCGUUAAUCGGAAUUACUGGGCGUAAAGCGUGCGCAGGCAGUUUUAUAAGUCAGAUGUGAAAUCCCCGAGCUCAACUUGGGAACUGCGUUUGAAACUGUAAGACUAGAGUGUGUCAGAGGGGGGUAGAAUUCCAAGUGUAGCAGUGAAAUGCGUAGAGAUUUGGAGGAAUACCAAUGGCGAAGGCAGCCCCCUGGGAUAACACUGA